AACGAACGCUGGCGGCAGGCCUAACACAUGCAAGUCGAGCGAACCCUUCGGGGUUAGCGGCGGACGGGUUAGUAACGCGUGGGAAUAUACCCUUUGGUACGGAAUAGCCUCGGGAAACUGAGAGUAAUACCGUAUGUGCCCUUCGGGGGAAAGAUUUAUCGGCAAAGGAUCGGCCCGCGUUGGAUUAGGUAGUUGGUGGGGUAAUGGCCUACCAAGCCGACGAUCCAUAGCUGGUUUGAGAGGAUGAUCAGCCACACUGGGACUGAGACACGGCCCAGACUCCUACGGGAGGCAGCAGUGGGGAAUCUUAGACAAUGGGCGCAAGCCUGAUCUAGCCAUGCCGCGUGAGCGAUGAAGGCCUUAGGGUUGUAAAGCUCUUUCAGUGGGGAAGAUAAUGACUGUACCCACAGAAGAAGCCCGGCUAACUCCGUG
rnacentral:rRNA from 1 species